rnacentral:lncRNA from 1 species
CGUAGCAAUUUCGUUUGUUUGUGGUAAUUAUUGUCUAACCAUAGACUAACUAGGCUCAAAAGAUUAGUGUUAUCAAUUUUGACCAAACUGUGCAAUUAGUUUUUAAUUUUGUCUAUAUUUAAUACUCUAUACAUGCGUGUAAAGAUUCGAUGUGACAGAGAAUCUUGAAAAACUUUAGGGUUUUUGGAUGGAAGUAGACAAGGCCGAUGAUUAGGAGUUUCAACUUUCGUUUUUCUUGGUCUCUGUUUUCUCCGGUCUUUGUUCUUCUAUUAAUGACAACAUCAAACCAAGGGCGGAAAUAGUUUUUCUACUAUCACGGUGUUAAGUAAUUACUUUCCGCCUGGAAUGUACGUAAGUAGUUUUAGUUUUCUACUGACUCAAACUUAUCUAUCCCUAAUAAUCAAGUACUACAUAGGAAAAAUAUGUUGUUUGGAGUUUGUUAUCAGGGUUGGUGGAAUGUUUCUUUUGAGUUCUUUAUUCAAUUUUUAGCUUUUUUUUCUUUUAUUUAAACGCAUGCUUAGAGGCCUGUUGUAGCUUUGUCUUAUCACUUGGGGUGUCUCCAUGGUCACUUUACUUCUCUUUUUUAAUGAAACAUAUAUGCUUACAUGCUUGCAAAAGAAAAAGAUACAAAUAAAUGACCAAAGACACAUGUCACGGUGGAUUUGACAAUGUAAUUGAUUUUGCAUGAAUUUGUUUUGUUAAAGAGGAAUUUUACUCACAGCAAAAUGAAAACACCAUAUAUAUAUAUAUAUAUAUAUAUAUAUAUAUAUAUAUAUAUAUAUAUAUAUAUAUAUAUAUAUAUAUAUAUAUAUAUAUAGAAAUUUCUUUGUACACGUGCGUGUAGUUACUCUCAUCUUCAAUAAACUACAUUGUGUAUGUAUUCAUACUUGUUUAUCGGUUUGAGUAUGUUUAUAUAAGAUACUCUAGAUCUUACCACGCGUAAAUUUUUCAAAAAAAAAAUUAUAUUUUAAAUAUAUUACUAAAAUGCCACUACUAUAUUAUAUACAAUAAGUAUAACCAUAUACUCUAUGUAUGUAUGCAUACUUAACAUACAUAUCACUCUAGAUGGCCUAGUAUGAUCAUAUACUUUGUCUAUAUACAUUUCGUCCGGUCAUAUACACCUUAAAUCAAGAGAUAUAGAGAUGAGAGUAACUACACGCGUGUA